rnacentral:tRNA from 1 species
UAAGAGUUAGUUAAAUAAUAAUAUUAGGUUGUCAACCUUAAGUAGCGAAGGCACUCUUGU